CAAUUUUCCUCUUCCUCAAAACCCCCAAAAUUCCCCACAUAGCUGAAACAAAUUCAACCCCACCAACUCACUAAGUUCAGUGCGAAUCCUUUGCCCUGGUUCCGAUCUACACAGUAUCUCCGCCACAACCACUACCAAUUCCAACUUCCACAAAACCCUAACCAAUUUUGGUUACCAUCAAACCCUAACGAUGAUGCGACGCAAGGAGAAGCGCAUGAUUUUUAGUUCGUACCUGCAACGUGCUUGUAAAAUCUCUGAUGGAAUCGAGAAGAAGAGGAGUAAAAUCUCAAUCGAGUUCGUUGGCUUCUGAUUCAUGGAGAUUUGGGGUCGGAUUCGCUGGCUUCUGAUUCACUGGCUUUAAGGAGAAGCACAUGAUUUUGAGUACGUAUCUUCAAUCUAUUUAUGCUUUCUUUACGAUUACUAAUUUUCAAAUCCAUUUUGUUUGUAAGUUAUGGAUAUAGAUCCCUAUUCCAUGCUGUAUAAAAAUGAAUUCUUUGAUACCGGAUUUUUUUUUGUUAAAAAUCAACUUUUUUUUUGUUUCAAUUAGUCAAAGUGUUAUUUUAUACGAGGAUAAUGUAAUAUGUUUAUCCUCUAAAUGGAUCACAAUGGUCAAUAGUGGAUUCUUCAAUCGUUGAGAUCGAUGUUCUCUAUGUUCAUGGCUUUCUUGCCUUCAUAGAGGUCAUUGUCAGAGCUACAGCAGUCAUACCUGGUCGCUCUCCGUGACAAGCCAUGUUUGCCGCCACCAAAGACGUAGACAAUCAUACCGUCACAAACCCUACUCUGCGCACCGAAGACUACCGCCACCACAAUGAUCAGAACAUCGUCGUCGAAUGUUGUUGAUGCCGACGAGCAGGUUGUAACACCAUCGGACGGUCGUCAUCGGCCUCCCUCUGCGCUCUCUCUCUGUCGCUCACAACUUUCUCUCUCUAACAGGUUCCAUUAUUUCUACAACUGUUAAAGAAAAUGCAGGAUUCUUCUCAUCCUUUCUACCCUCAGAGUCUGAGAGAGAGACAGAGGGUGCAAGAAACGGAGACUCAAGUUAUCGGCCAGCCACCACCUCUGGUGGCGGAGACAAGGCGGAUCUUUAGCGGCAUCUUCGAGUGUUGUACCCCUACCUACAGAACAAAAGACAUAAAGUGCCCGGUGAGGUGGCAUGGGCUAGGGUUCUGACGGCACUCCAGUUAACUCCGGCAAUAAUUCAGGACUCUGAUGAAUCUCAGGCGACUUCUCCGGUUAACGAUCUGGGUUGGCAUGUUAUUUAACCUUAAAGAUCGGUGGAUGACCCGUAUCAUGACAGGUGGAUGGGGAAGGCGGUUGCUGCAACCUAUAUGGCUAAUAAGUUGGUUUGUGACAUGGCUACAAUAUAUUGGAGGUGAUGGUUUCGUUGAUGGGCUAAGAGACAUUAGAACUGGCUACGAGUUACAGUUUACUCACUACCAUAGAAACAAGGUCGACACUAGCCCAUGGAUGAAAAUUUGCAAUACUUUCAAGUCCAAAAGCAGUGAAUAUAUACGGACUUGAAGAAAACAACCUAGAAAUAGCUAUUAGUUUUUGUGUACAUUUGUUUCUCUUUGCAACUUUUGUAGAUAGAUUUUGCUUAGAAGUUUAUGUCUUCUAUUAGUAUUUAAAUUGAAAACUUAUCUAUGGUUUUUUGGUUAUUAUUGUUAAUAUCAUUUGUUUUAU